AUGCAAGUCGAGCGGAACGACUUAACUGAACCUUCGGGGAACGUUAAGGGCGUCGAGCGGCGGACGGGUGAGUAAUGCCUGGGAAUAUGCCUUAGUGUGGGGGAUAACUAUUGGAAACGAUAGCUAAUACCGCAUAAUGUCUUCGGACCAAAGAGGGGGACCUUCGGGCCUCUCGCGCUAAGAUUAGCCCAGGUGAGAUUAGCUAGUUGGUGAGGUAAGAGCUCACCAAGGCGACGAUCUCUAGCUGGUCUGAGAGGAUGAUCAGCCACACUGGAACUGAGACACGGUCCAGACUCCUACGGGAGGCAGCAGUGGGGAAUAUUGCACAAUGGGCGAAAGCCUGAUGCAGCCAUGCCGCGUGUAUGAAGAAGGCCUUCGGGUUGUAAAGUACUUUCAGUAGGGAGGAAGGUUCAUGCGUUAAUAGCGUAUGGAUUUGACGUUACCUACAGAAGAAGCACCGGCUAACUCCGUGCCAGCAGCCGCGGUAAUACGGAGGGUGCGAGCGUUAAUCGGAAUUACUGGGCGUAAAGCGCAUGCAGGUGGUUCAUUAAGUCAGAUGUGAAAGCCCGGGGCUCAACCUCGGAACCGCAUUUGAAACUGGUGAACUAGAGUGCUGUAGAGGGGGGUAG
rnacentral:rRNA from 1 species